rnacentral:rRNA from 1 species
UACGUAGGGUGCAGGCGUUAAUCGGAAUUACUGGGCGUAAAGCGUGCGCAGGCGGUCUUUUAAGUCAGAUGUGAAAUCCCCCGGGCUUAACCUGGGAACUGCGUUUGAAACUGGAAGGCUUGAGUGUGGCAGAGGGGGGUGGAAUUCCGACGUGUAGCAGUGAAAUGCGUAGAGAUGUGGAGGAACACCGAUGGCGAAGGCGGCGUUCUGGACUGUUACUGACACUGAGGAACGGAAAGC